CACUUCUAUAUAAGGACUUGCAACGGCUUCUGCACGUUCUUUAUUCGGAGACGUCCGGAGUGGUUGGUUAGAAGACAUUACUUUACGAUACCCAUGGGGCCAGAUGCUGUGCUGGUGUUGCCACUUUGCAUGCAAGGAAAAGAAAUUGUGACACUUCCUGAAGGGUGAUGGAAAAGAAUGAAUGUAUUAUCUAGUAUGCCAUUAUAAAAGUGGUCAUCAGGUUUAAUUUGCUGGACAGUCAUGCAGAAUUUCUUAUGGCUGUUAACACUUCUGAAAUUGUUGUUUAUAAAGGUUGGCAUCAGGUCUAGGAAGCAUCUGGGAUUGACUUGAUGUAGGAAUCAUCUGCUUCUGGAUUUAAACUACCAUCAAAGCAAUAGAAUAAUAUCACUGGUGUCAUGUAUUGUGAUUUACUUUGAAAUGAAUUUGGUGCCAGGAAAUCAGCUGAUGUCUUGCAGUAUGUACUUCAAUCAGCCUCACAUCUUGAGAGCUCUGUGGGAAUUAGCAGUGCAAUAAAUCUAAAACUUUGGAAUUAAUGUUAACAAA